UCCUUAUUGGAUAUUCCUUGACAACAACAACAACACGCUUCACCAUCUUGUAUACUUCCGUCAAUUUUCUCGUAAAACAGUUUAUUUCUCCUCCUCCUGGACAUUACAGCAAGUGUUUGGCUGAUAUAACCUGCCAGAGACUACCCCAGGCUGAUAUAACCUGCCAGAGACUACCCCAGGCUGAUAUAACCUGCCAGAGACUACCCCUGGCUGAUAUAACCUACCAUAGACUAUCCCAGGCUGAUAUAACCUGUCAGGGACUUCCCCAGGCUGAUAUAACCUGCUACAGACUACCCCAGGCUGAUAUAACCCACUGACUAACAACUUGUGCAGAAAAAGAUACUGUGAUGUCACAUCUCAAGACCAAGUGUAACUAAGUAGAAAUUCACAAUGUCAAGCAGAGAUAAAAAGUUCUCCUGUGAGGAAUGUGGCAAACGGUUUUGCUUAAAGUCUACUCUUCAGACACAUUUACUUGUACACAAUGGUAUGAAGGAGUUUGAAUGUGAGGAAUGUGGGAAAAAAAUGUCAUCUAAGAGUAAUCUCAAGAAACACAUUCUUGGACACAGUGGUAUAAAGGAGUUUGAAUGUGAGGAAUGUGGGAAACAUUUUGCACAUAAGAGUUAUCUCAAGACACAUUUACUUGGACACAGUGGUAAGAGGGAUUUUGAAUGUGAGGAAUGUGGGAAAUAUUUUACAAGGAAGAGUACUCUGAAGAGACACAUUCUUGGACACAGUGGAAUAAAAAAGUUUAAAUGUGAGGAAUGUGGGAAUUAUUUUGCACAUAAGAGUCAUCUCAAGACAC